UUGCAUUGCUGUCAAUGUGGGUGUGUUGACACUGCAUUUUCAAAGAACUGCUUUAGUGGCCACGCAUUGUUUAUGUCACAAUGAGCCCAUGGUGGAGGGAUCUGGAAUGGAACAUUCCGAGAUGGGGCCUGCACAUACAUUAGGCAAAGAGGCACGCACUGAGGUCCUCUGGGUGCCAGUAGCCACAGGAAACACUCCGAGGAUAUGCAAAGGUCAUGGGAAUGGUGGCCCAGGUGAUGAUAGAGCAAAAGGGAGCAGAGAAAGUGGUUUCAAGUGUUUGCAAGAACUCUAAGCACCAGGAAUAAGGCACAAGAUGGGAAUCAGAGACACCACGGUAGAAUUCAGAGACACACAUAGCCAUCACAUCCU
rnacentral:lncRNA from 1 species